rnacentral:rRNA from 1 species
GAUGAAUGCUGGCGGCGUGGAUAAGUCAUGCAAGUCAAGGGGGCCCGCAAGGGCAACCGGCAAACGAGGUAGUAACACGUAGGUACAUCCCCCGAAGUCGGGCAUAGCCAUCCGAAAGGAUGGGUAAUUCCCGAUAGUCCCGCAAGGGUAAAGGUUUUUCGCUUUGGGAGCGGCCUGCGUAGUAUCAGCUAGUUGGUAGGGUAAUGGCCUACCAAGGCUACGACGCUUAGGGGAGCUGAGAGGCUGACCCCCACCGAUGGAACUGCGACACGGUCCAUACUCCUACGGGAGGCUGCAGACGAGAAUAUUCCGCAAUGGGCGAAAGCCUGACGGAGCGACGCCGCGUGCUGGAUGAAGUGCCUUGGUACGUAAACAGCUUUUAUCGGGGACGAAGUUUAUUGACGGUACCCGAUGAAUAAGGGGCUCCUAACUCUGUGCCAGCAGGAGCGGUAAUACAGAGGCCCCAAGCAUUAUCCGGAAUCACUGGGCGUAAAGGGUGUCUAGGCGGCCAUAUUAGUCUCUCGUUAAAUCCAUGGGCUCAACCUGUGGUCUGCGAGGGAAACGGUAUGGCUCGAGGGCGUAAGAGGUGCAUGGAACUCAUGGUGGAGGGGUGAAAUCCGUUGAUAUCAUGGGGAACACCAAAGGCGAAGGCAAUGCACUGGUACGUUCCUGACGCUCAAACACGAAAGCCAGGGUAGCGAAUGGGAUUAGAUACCCCAGUAGUCCUGGCCCUCAACGUUGCUCGCUCGCUUUACGGAGUAUCGACCCUCUGUGAGGCUAAGCUAACGCGGUAAGCGAGCCGCCUGGGUAGUACGAUCGCAAGAUUA